rnacentral:misc_RNA from 1 species
GAUGAAAUAGGAUAAAGAGGCACGGAGAGAGAGAAAAUAGCGCCGAAAUCUGUCCCGCCCGGAUACUGAUUUGUUCAUGACCAAAAUUCUUCCGACGUUGUUAAUCUUUCGGAGCUGUGAGGUCUUUUUUCGCUUAAUUUCAUAAAGUUCUCUUUGAAGAAUUGUAAGGACAUAAGUGGGCUGCUGGUCCUGUUAGGGCUGGCUUCAUUUGUUCAAUCACGGCUCUAAAAAGAGAAACACGUAUUAAGACUAGACGGGGAAAAUCAUGUGCACAAGCAUUUCCUAAGUUUUGGAUUGCAUCCCCUUCAUUUCACGGUGGUCGUGGUGCCCUACCUUCAGCAGGUGGGCAUCCAGCAGAUCUUACCUUCCUUGCUGGUGGUGGGUACUGACACAAGCAUCUGAACAAUCUGACCUUCCUUGACUUGGAGGGUGCUGGAACAGCAAUUUGAAUACAGUAUUUAAUUUUAUUGUGGAUUUGAAAAUUACUCUGUUUAAGCAUGGUUACAGUCAAGCCAAUUGCUGAUAACAAUUUACUGUUGAGAUGUGCAACUGAACAGUUGGGUUGUCCUCAUUUCUGCUCUCAAGGCAUCAAAAUUCCCAUUUAUUGCUUUGGCACCAAAUAUCUCAUUGACAAUAGCUUAUUUGGGGGGGUUUCACACAUUUCUGAAGAAGAGCAAAGUCUAUUGGAUUCUCUUCACCUUGCACA